UACAGAGGUCUCAAGCGUUGUUCGGAUUCAUUGGGCGUAAAGGGUGCGUAGGCGGCGCGGUAAGUCGGGUGUGAAAUCUCGGAGCUUAACUCCGAAACUGCAUUCGAUACUGCCGUGCUUGAGGACUGGAGAGGAGACUGGAAUUUACGGUGUAGCGGUGAAAUGCGUAGAUAUCGUAAGGAAGACCAGUGGCGAAGGCGGGUCCCUGGACAAUUGCUGACACUCAGGCACGAAAGCGUGGGGAGCAAAAGGG
rnacentral:rRNA from 1 species